rnacentral:rRNA from 1 species
GAUGAACGCUGGCGGCGUGCCUAAUACAUGCAAGUCGAGCGAACGGACGAGAAGCUUGCUUCUCUGAUGUUAGCGGCGGACGGGUGAGUAACACGUGGAUAACCUACCUAUAAGACUGGGAUAACUUCGGGAAACCGGAGCUAAUACCGGAUAAUAUUUUGAACCGCAUGGUUCAAAAGUGAAAGACGGUCUUGCUGUCACUUAUAGAUGGAUCCGCGCUGCAUUAGCUAGUUGGUAAGGUAACGGCCUACCAAGGCAACGAUGCAUAGCCGACCUGAGAGGGUGAUCGGCCACACUGGAACUGAGACACGGUCCAGACUCCUACGGGAGGCAGCAGUAGGGAAUCUUCCGCAAUGGGCGAAAGCCUGACGGAGCAACGCCGCGUGAGUGAUGAGGGUCUUCGGAUCGUAAAACUCUGUUAUUAGGGAAGAACAUAUGUGUAAGUAACUGUGCACAUCUUGACGGUACCUAAUCAGAAAGCCACGGCUAACUACGUG